CGAUAAAAGCAGAAAAUUUGCGUUGGUCUUGUAAGCCGAAAGGUGAAGGCAGCGGCCUUCUUAUCGCUU
rnacentral:tRNA from 1 species